rnacentral:rRNA from 1 species
UACAGGGGGUGCAAACGUUGCUCGGAAUCAUUGGGCGUAAAGGGUGCGUAGGCGGCGCGGUAAGUCGGGUGUGAAAUCUCGGAGCUUAACUCCGAAACUGCAUUCGAUACUGCCGUGCUUGAGGACUGGAGAGGAGACUGGAAUUUACGGUGUAGCGGUGAAAUGCGUAGAUAUCGUAAGGAAGACCAGUGGCGAAGGCGGGUCUCUGGACAGUUCCUGACGCUGAGGCACGAAGGUCAGGGGAGCAAACGGG